CCUACGGGCGACAGCAGUGGGGAAUAUUGCACAAUGGGGGAAACCCUGAUGCAGCGACGCCGCGUGAGUGAGGAAGUAUUUCGGUAUGUAAAGCUCUAUCAGCAGGGAAGAAAAUGACGGUACCUGACUAAGAAGCCCCGGCUAACGACGGGCCAGCAGCCGCGGUAAUACGUAGGGGGCAAGCGUUAUCCGGAUUUACUGGGUGUAAAGGGAGCGUAGACGGCUAAUCAAGUCAGAAGUGAAAACCCAGGGCUCCACUUUGGGACUGCUUUUGAAACUGAGUAGCUAGAGUGCAGGAGAGGUAAGCGGAAUUCCUAGUGUAGCGGUGAAAUGCGUCGAUAUUAGGCGGAACCCCAGUGGCGAAGGCGGCUUACUGGACUGUACCUGACGUUGCGGCUCGAAAGCGUGGGGAGCAAACAGGAUUAGAUACCCCGGUAGUC
rnacentral:rRNA from 1 species